UAGGGAAUAUUGGACAAUGGGCGAAAGCCUGAUCCAGCAACGCCGCGUGCGCGAUGACGGCCUUCGGGUUGUAAAGCGCUUUUAGCGGAGAUGAGAAAGGACAGUAUACUCUGAAUAAGCAUCGGCGAACUACGUACCAGAAGCCGCGGUAAAACGUAGGAGGCUAGCGUUAUCCGGAUUUAUUGGGCGUAAAGCGCGUGCAGGCGGUCUGACAAGUUGGAUGUGAAAGCUCCUGGCUUAACUGGGAGAGGUCGUUCAAUACUGUUAGACUAGAGAAUGGUAGAGGGAGGUAGAAUUCCGGGUGUAGUGGUGAAAUGCGUAGAUAUCCGGAGGAACACCAGUGGCGGAAGCGGCCUCCUAGACCAUUUCUGACGCUAAGACGCGAAAGCUAGGGUAGCAAACG
rnacentral:rRNA from 1 species